rnacentral:rRNA from 1 species
GACGAACGCUGGCGGCGUGCUUAACACAUGCAAGUCGAGCGGAGCGGCGAACGGGUGAGUAACGCGUGAGUAACUGCCCCCCUCUCUGGGAUAACAGUUGGAAACGGCUGCUAAUACCGGAUAGUGGGGGAUGACUCGCGUCCUAUCAGCUUGUUGGUGGGGUAGUGGCCUACCAAGGCGACGACGGGUAGCCGGCCUGAGAGGGCGACCGGCCACAAUGGGAUGGGGAUGCGGCCAAACGGCAUCCGGGGGCAACGGUGGGGGAUUUUGGCAAAAGGGGGAAACCCUGAUGCAGCAACGCCGCGUGCGGGAUGACGGCCUUCGGGUUGUAAACCGCUUUCAGCCAUGACGCGGUAGUGGCAGAAGAAGCACCGGCUAACUACGUGCCAGCAGCCGCGGUAAUAC